UUAUUUGAGAGUUUGAUCCUGGCUCAGGAUAAACGCUGGCGGCGUGCCUUAGGCAUGCAAGUCGAGCGGUCCGAUCCCGCAAGGGCAUCGGACAGCGGCAGACGGGUGAGUAAUGGUAAGGUAUCUACCCCGAAGUGAAGGACAUCUCGUCGAAAGACGGGGUAAUCCUGCAUAAUCUCGGAAGAGCAAAGGGCGUAACUGCCCGCUACGGGAGGAGCCUUACUCCUAUCAGCUUGUUGGUGGGGUAAAAGCCUACCAAGGCUAUGACGGGUAGCUGGUGUGAGAGCAUGUCCAGCCACAAUGGCACUGA
rnacentral:ncRNA from 1 species